UACGGAGGAUCCGAGCGUUAUCCGGAUUUAUUGGGUUUAAAGGGUGCGUAGGCGGAAUGAUAAGUCAGCGGUGAAAGCCCACAGCUUAACUGUGGAACUGCCGUUGAUACUGUCAAUCUUGAGUACGUAUGAAGUGGGCGGAAUGUGUCAUGUAGUGGUGAAAUACUUAGAUAUGACACAGAACACCAAUUGCGAAGGCAGCUCACUAAACUGUAACUGACGCUGAGGCACGAAAGUGUGGGGAUCAAACAGG
rnacentral:rRNA from 1 species